rnacentral:lncRNA from 1 species
ACCCAAAGAAACAAACAAACAAAGCCACCUCAAAAAGCCUUUACCCUAAACCGAUUGAGAUUGAUUCACUUACCAUUUGCGAGACCGCGCCAAACACUUUAAUGAAUGUUAAAGAGAUGUUUCAACUUGAUUGUGAGUCUUUGCUAAUGGAAUGAGAAUGAACUAGAAGAUUGCAUUAACUUAGGCAUGAGAAAAUAUUUGAGAGUACGAUGAUUGAUUGAAGCACCUUUGAACUAUCUUUGAGGACUUUGGUUUGAAUCAUUUGCUUGAUAUUUUGUGGUUAUUGAAGUCCUCCUUCAAGCUUCUCUCUUGGCCUUUAUUUAGAUUGUUUGCUUGAGGACAAGCAAAAGGCAAGUCUGGGGGAGUUAAUACACAUCAUAUUUACAGCUUUAUUAAGGGUUUUAUUAUCCUUUUUAUCAUGUUUCAAUUGUAUUUUCAUUGUGUUUUGUUGCAUUUAGUGUCUAAAUGAGUCUUCUUGCUUUUUAGAAGUCAUAUAGUGUCUUUGAGUGUGUUUUAGUGUGUUUUGGG